rnacentral:rRNA from 1 species
GUGGGGAAUCUUAGACAAUGGGCGCAAGCCUGAUCCAGCCAUGCCGCGUGAGUGAUGAAGGCCUUAGGGUUGUAAAGCUCUUUCACCGAUGAAGAUAAUGACGGUAACCGGAGAAGAAGCCCCGGCUAACUUCGUGCCAGCAGCCGUGGUAAUACGAAGGGGGCUAGCGUUGUUCGGAAUUACUGGGCGUAAAGCGCACGUAGGCGGACAUUUAAGUCAGGGGUGAAAUCCCAGAGCUCAACUCUGGAACUGCCUUUGAUACUGGGUGUCUUGAGUAUGGAAGAGGUAAGUGGAAUUCCGAGUGUAGAGGUGAAAUUCGUAGAUAUUCGGAGGAACACCAGUGGCGAAGGCGGCUUACUGGUCCAUUACUGACGCUGAGGUGCGAAAGCGUGGGGAGCAAACAGGAUUAGAUACCCGAGUAGUCC